rnacentral:rRNA from 1 species
UACGGAGGGUGCAAGCGUUAUCCGGAUUCACUGGGUUUAAAGGGUGCGUAGGAGGGCAGGGUAAGUCAGUGGUGAAAUCCUGGGGCUUAACCCCAGAACUGCCGUUGAUACUAUCGGUCUUGAAUGUCGUGGAGGUGAGCGGAAUAUGGUCAUGUAGCGGUGAAAUGCUUAGAUAUGACAUAGAACACCAAUUGCGAAGGCAGCUUAGCUACACGGAUAUUGACUCUGAGGCACGAAAGCGUGGGGAUCAAACAGG